ensembl:lncRNA
CGCCCCUCAAACACGCCCCCGACCUGGGACCGAGGCUGCAGGAAGUGGUGAGCUGCGGCCUGAGAACUAGAGAUAAAGAUCUAUCUGGGAUAAGAAGAUUAAGGAGAGGCAAGGUGGCAACUGCAGAGCAGAGCAAUUGAGUCUUUACAGUUGAUGUUUCCUUGGACAGCCAGACAUUCUUCUAAGAUGAGACUUGGUUGUUGAACACGGAAGGACCAGCCAGGCAACUCUGAAGACCUGUUUGUCAGUAUCUGCUAAGGUUCACACCAUUGCCUUAGUCUGUCCAUGGGCUUAGGGACGAUGCUGAGUGACAUCCUACACUUGCUCAGAAAUGAUUUCAACUGUCUGCAGCAGAGGAGGAGUGCCUUACUGGAUUGCUGAAUUUAAGACAAGGAGAGAAAAGAACUGAUGCAUAGAGAGAUAAAUAGUUUGUCCAAAACCAUGCAAGAAUCAUGGUGCUGUAAGGACGAACUAAUCCUGCUCCUGAAAGAGGCCAUCUGUAAUGAACAGAGCCCAGGGAAGACUGAAGAGCUGAAAAGAAAACAGAGCUGAGGGGUGGACAGAUAUGCUGUGUUUGGACCCCUGGGGCCCAGCUAUACCUGGACUGAAACCCACCCCUUGGACUUCAAGUGUAGGGCCUGUUGUUCUUUGCAAUUGAACUAUGCUGACUUGAGGUUUUGUUGUCCCUUAUUGUCAAAAAGAGUCUGAAUUUACUGAAUUCUAGAUGCAACCAUUCCACUUACUAACAUAUGAACC